GCCACCCGCACCGAGAACUCUGCGCGUCCUGGGGACCCUACGAGCCGAUGCCCAAGUUAGCCAGCAGCGGCUCCACCCUUCUCUCCCUUUCCUGUCUCUCUCUCUCUAUUUCCAAUGUCAAGGCUCUAGCCUCCCUGUCUGUGGCUCGACGGGCUUCGGCAUCACAGCGAAUGUGAGGCGUCGCUGGUUGCGGUCGCGCGUGGCGACGGGAACCAGAAACGGUCGGCAAGAUUUCAGGCGGUGGAUCGGCAUUCUGUUACGGGGAAGAAGAAGCUUCUAAGCGCCUGUGCCCACGAUAUCUGCGGAAAGGCUCGCGUGCAUCUUAUCGAGAGUUCUGGGAACAGAUGAACAUGGAUGAGGCUUACAAACGUGGCCCACUGCUAAGUGACGUGAAGGGUUAUUAGGGUG
rnacentral:lncRNA from 7 species